rnacentral:rRNA from 1 species
GACGAACGCUGGCGGCGUGCCUAAUACAUGCAAGUAGGACGCAGUUGCGAACGGGUGAGUAACGCGUAGGUAACUACCUAUUAGAGGGGGAUAACUAUUGGAAACGAUAGCUAAUACCGCAUACUAGUAGAUGGACCUGCGUUGUAUUAGCUAGUAGGUAGGGUAAUGGCCUACCUAGGCAACGAUACAUAGCCGACCUUGGGAGGGUAACGGGCAACCUGGGACUGGGGAACGGCCCCGACCCCUACCGGAGGCAGCAGGAGGGAAUCAUCGGAAAAGGGGGGAACCCCGACCGAGUAACGCCGCGUGAGUGAAGAAGGUGUUCGGAUCGUAAAGCUCUGUUGUUAAGGAAGCGGUACUUAACCAGAAAGGGACGGCUAACUACGUGCCAGCAGCCGCGGUAAUAC